rnacentral:lncRNA from 1 species
AAUUAGGAGCCACAAUUUCUGGCUCGAUUUCGAAACAACGUCUGCACCUUUAGUUUCCCUAUGCACAUAAGUGUUUUUCCAGAUGAGUCAGAAAUUGUAGUUCCUAAUUGCAAAAUUUAGUCCGAAUAUGGCUCAAAGCCACAUAACUCCUACAAUUUUGAAAUAACGUCACCGAGAAUAGGCAUCAUUUGCAGUGUUCCAAUCGAUUAUUCAGUUUUGAGGACCACUGUGGAAACGGUUGAAUGAGAUAUCUGGAGCUGUGAUGAUGUUAAGUAAUGCAUGAAUUCACUCCACGCGACGCGAGGCGCUCCACAACCACCGGAGCGUGGCCGGCGGAGGAAGAAGAAGAAAAAGUCACGUCCAGACGAAAUCAGCCAGAUCAGUUGGUCCAGUUAACAUAACCUAUUAUUCUAUCAACCUGCAAUGAAUCUCCUCUUGCUUUCCACCUUGGCUUUGAUGGACUCUGUGAGUCGUAGUGUGUGUGAGAAAAAAUUAUACAUGACGAGUCUUCCGUCGGUGCCAAUGUUUCAGAUACCUCAUCAGCCAUUUAUUGUGCCUUUUACAGAGCUUGAUAAUAUUCGCUCUGAAUCCAAAGUCGAUGGAGUCCACCACAAAGAUCAAGGAUUCUUUGAUAACUUUCAGAAAACCAAUGACAAAAAGAAAUAUUCAUCACAUCAUGACAAGCAUUCAAAACAUAAGGCUCUAAAAGAAGCUGAGCACAAAGAUGCAGGAAAAGGCUCAAAAGUUGGCGAAUAUGCACACAAGCGCGUGAAGAAGAAGAAAACUAAGCAUGAAAAGGAGAAGAAAGGCAAGCACAGCAAGGAAAAAAGUGGCAAACACGGAGGUAAAAGUGGUCACAAGAAAAAGAAUGAGAAGCACACAUUGAAAGAGGGGUUUCAUGAUAAAUACCACAGAGAUGAAGAAAAGGAGGACAACAAGUUUUAUAGCAACCACAAAGAGUCUGGUACCUUCAUGAAAUUUAAAAAGAAAAAACAUACGAAAAAGAGAAGGACGAAGCAGCAGACAAGAAAAAUACAAAGAAGGUACGACUAUUCCCAAUGCUUGCUCACUGUAUUCUCAAUUCAUACAAAAGUAAUUA